GAUCCUGGCUCAGGAUGAACGCUAGCUAUAGGCUUAACACAUGCAAGUCGAGGGGAAACGGCAUUAUGUGCUUGCACAUUUUGGACGUCGACCGGCGCACGGGUGAGUAUCGCGUAUCCAACCUGCCCUUUACUUGGGGAUACCCCGUUGAAAGACGGCCUAAUACCCGAUGUAAUUCAUUGAUGGCAUCAGAUAUGAAUAAAAGAUUUAUCGGUAAAGGAUGGGGAUGCGUCUGAUUAGCUUGUUGGUGAGGUAACGGCCCACCAAGGCGACGAUCAGUAGGGGUUCUGAGAGGAAGGUCCCCCACAUUGGAACUGAGACACGGUCCAAACUCCUACGGGAGGCAGCAGUGAGGAAUAUUGGUCAAUGGACGGAAGUCUGAACCAGCCAAGUAGCGUGCAGGAUGACGGCCCUAUGGGUUGUAAACUGCUUUUGUAUGGGGAUAAAGUUAGGCACGUGUGCUUAUUUGCAGGUACCAUACGAAUAAGGACCGGCUAAUUCCGUGCCAGCAGCCGCGGUAAUACGGAAGGUCCAGGCGUUAUCCGGAUUUAUUGGGUUUAAAGGGAGCGUAGGCUGGAGAUUAAGUGUGUUGUGAAAUGUAGACGCUCAACGUCUGAAUUGCAGCGCAUACUGGUUUCCUUGAGUACGCACAACGUUGGCGGAAUUCAUGGUGUAGCGGUGAAAUGCUUAGAUAUCAUGAGGAACUCCGAUCGCGAAGGCAGCCGGCGGGAGUGCAACUGACGCUUAAGCUCGAAGGUGCGGGUAUCGAACAGGAUUAGAUACCCU
rnacentral:rRNA from 1 species